CGGAAAAGUUGCAAAUUUUCGUAAAAAUAAAAGUGAAAUAACAUUAAAAGAAAGUUAUGCAUUUCAUUCAAAAGUGUUUUUUAUCUUUCCUGAGUGUAAUUUUAAAAGUUCAACUUCUUAAUUUCAAAAACUGUUAAACUAUCAAAAAAUUGUUCAUCUGUCAACAAAAAGUUCUGAACAAAACAGAGAAGAAGAAGAAGAAGGUUUCGAAAUGGUAUACGGUUUUUGUUUUUGCUGCUGGAACAUUUUGUUGUGCAGCUGUCCUCCAGAAUUAAAAAAAUAAAGCUGUCCUCCAGAAUUUAGGAAUACGAAGGUAAUUUAUGGCGCAAUGCCCACAUACAACCCCAAAUGAUGCGCACCCCUCACUCUGGCCAGGGGCUGGAUCCCGGACUAUUAUACUGAAAAAAAAGUGGCCACCGUGUUGUGGAUGAUGCUCCAGCCUCCAGCUUAUAGGCCUCGUUAUAAGCAGUGUAUACAUCGUUUAAAUUAAGAAAAA